GAUGAACGCUGGCGGCGUGCCUAAUACAUGCAAGUCGAGCGAACAGAUGAGGAGCUUGCUCCUCUGACGUUAGCGGCGGACGGGUGAGUAACACGAGGAUAACCUACCUAUAAGACUGGGAUAACUUCGGGAAACCGGAGCUAAUACCGGAUAAUAUAUUGAACCGCAUGGUUCAAUAGUGAAAGACGGUUUUGCUGUCACUUAUAGAUGGAUCCGCGCCGCAUUAGCUAGUUGGUAAGGUAACGGCUUACCAAGGCAACGAUGCGUAGCCGACCUGAGAGGGUGAUCGGCCACACUGGAACUGAGACACGGUCCAGACUCCUACGGGAGGCAGCAGUAGGGAAUCUUCCGCAAUGGGCGAAAGCCUGACGGAGCAACGCCGCGUGAGUGAUGAAGGUCUUCGGAUCGUAAAACUCUGUUAUUAGGGAAGAACAAAUGUGUAAGUAACUAUGCACGUCUUGACGGUACCUAAUCAGAAAGCCACGGCUAACUACGUG
rnacentral:rRNA from 1 species